UGCAUUGCAACUCAAAGCUGAGCCCACAACUAUCACUUUGAAACAUCCCCCACUGACAGGUCAGGGUGGAUCAGGCCUCCAGAGACAAAAAGCAAGAGCACUGAAUCACUGUGCCUCCUAUUAACAAGUAUUGGUAGGAGACUAGUCUGAGGAAGCUGUGCAAAACAUUUUUUAAAAAACCCAAUAACCCUGGGUAACCUGGAGUCAGUCUGAGCAUGCUUUCCUGGAGCACUGAUGGGUUCUAGAUGGUUUGUGCUGUUCCAAUUACUGAGUUUCCCCCACCCUCAUCUGGAGAAUCAACCAGGAAAGAUCUUAUUGAUCAAUACAAGGCUUCUUUAAUCUCCACCAGUCUGCCAGCUCCCCAGGACCCUGUAACCACUUCCUGCUCAGCCCAUUCUAUGCUCUUCUGUCAAUCCAUUCUUCACCCAACCCACUUCUGAAGCAGAUGACCAGAGUGAAGAGACUAGGACUAAUCAGAGGGAUGUUCUGAUAACAGAGCUGGAAACACCCCUGAAGCCCAGAAGUGGGGAUGUCCAGAAUCUGAACCUGGAGAUCAAUUCAAUCCAAUGGUUUCCUGCAGUACCUCUGCAACAGGCCAAACCAAAACCUUGGAUAUGAAUAACAAUGGACUUUGCAGUGUUUGAGGAUUGGGUCCAAACCUAUUGCCCUAGCUUCCCUGUGUUCUGAAUAUGACCAUAACACAGUGAUCUCUUUAAAUAUUACCUUAUUGUCUCAACAGUUCUUUCAUCUCCCAGACUUAGUUCAGUCUGAAUUGUCUAAAAAACAUUGUAGGAUCUUUUAUCAAUGCAAUUUUUAAAAGCAUGAAUUAAAUCUUAUCAUUAGUGGCCUUCAUGGCAAUACAGUCUAGGCUAAAGCUGUUAAAUAGAAAAGGACUCAUUUUCUAAACAGGCCCCCAUGGGGAUUCUGUGUCUUCAGAACUGAUGACUGAUUAAAUUAAAUGAACCAAAGCUUAAUACAAGUACUGUGUUUUAGCCUUGUUGUACAGUACUGGUAAGAAUAUGCUUUAGCAGAAUGGAGCAAACAGUUUACUGGAUUUCAGUGGGACUAUUUGUGGAGUUAGCUACUGCUCAGUGAGAGUAAUCGUGGCAGAAUCAGACUCACAAUAAUUUAUUUGAAGAUAUUUUUUUCCUAUUUUUCUUUCCUCAAAUUAAUUUUUUUUUUAAUUACUCAGAAUGAUUUUGGCCUUUUUUUGGUCUCAAUAUUGUUCAUGAUUAUUAGACUGUAAGCUUUCAGUGUUUGUAAUUGCAGCUGUGUGGGUUAGUUUUCAUUGUACUCAUAGUUCAUGUAACAGGUUUCUGCUUCCAGAUUGGCUUGAAUAACUCUUAAAAUGUUACAUUUGCAAAAUUAAAAUUCACUUUCUGUGGCUA